CCUACGGGUGGCAGCAGUCGAGAAUCAUUCACAAUGGGGGAAACCCUGAUGGUGCGACGCCGCGUGGGGGAAUGAAGGUCUUCGGAUUGUAAACCCCUGUCAUGUGGGAGCAAAUUAAAAAGAUAGUACCACAAGAGGAAGAGACGGCUAACUCUGUGCCAGCAGCCGCGGUAAUACAGAGGUCUCAAGCGGUGUUCGGAAUCACUGGGCGUAAGGCGUGCGUAGGCUGUUUCGUAAGUCGUGUGUGAAAGGCGCGGGCUCACCCCGCGGACGGCACAUGAUACUGCGAGACUAGAGUAAUGGAGGGGGAACCGGAAUUCUCGGUGUAGCAGUGAAAUGCGUAGAUAUCGAGAGGAACACUCGUGGCGAAGGCGGGUUCCUGGACAUUAACUGACGCUGAGGCACGAAGGCCAGGGGAGCGAAAGGGAUUAGAUACCCCAGUAGUC
rnacentral:rRNA from 1 species